rnacentral:rRNA from 1 species
GACUGGAGGGGUUUGAUUUACACUGCAUGACGAACGGUGAAGCAGAGCUUGCUCUGUGGAUCAGUGGCGAACGGGUGAGUAACACGUGAGCAACCUGCCCUGGACUCUGGGAUAAGCGCUGGAAACGGCGUCUAAUACUGGAUACGAGACGUGGCCGCAUGGUCAACGUUUGGAAAGAUUUUUUGGUUCAGGAUGGGCUCGCGGCCUAUCAGCUUGUUGGUGAGGUAAUGGCUCACCAAGGCGUCGACGGGUAGCCGGCCUGAGAGGGUGACCGGCCACACUGGGACUGAGACACGGCCCAGACUCCUACGGGAGGCAGCAGUGGGGAAUAUUGCACAAUGGGCGAAAGCCUGAUGCAGCAACGCCGCGUGAGGGAUGACGGCCUUCGGGUUGUAAACCUCUUUUAGCAAGGAAGAAGCGAAAGUGACGGUACUUGCAGAAAAAGCGCCGGCUAACUACGUGCCAGCAGCCGCGGUAAUACGUAGGGCGCAAGCGUUAUCCGGAAUUAUUGGGCGUAAAGAGCUCGUAGGCGGUUUGUCGCGUCUGCUGUGAAAACUGGAGGCUCAACCUCCAGCCUGCAGUGGGUACGGGCAGACUAGAGUGCGGUAGGGGAGAUUGGAAUUCCUGGUGUAGCGGUGGAAUGCGCAGAUAUCAUGAGGAACACCGAUGGCGAAGGCAGAUCUCUGGGCCGUAACUGACGCUGAGGAGCGAAAGGGUGGGGAGCAAACAGGCUUAGAUACCCCUGGUAGUCCACCCCGUAAACGUUGGAAACUAGUUGUGGGGACCAUUCCCACGGUUUCCGUGACGCAGCUUAACGCAUUAAGUUCCCCGUCUUGUGAGUACGGCCGCAAGGCUAAUACUUUAAAGGAAAUUGAACGGGUGAACCCGGUCACAAGCGGGCGGGAAGCCUUGGCUGGC